rnacentral:rRNA from 1 species
GAUGAACGCUGGCGGCGUGCCUAAUACAUGCAAGUCGAGCGAACGGACGAGAAGCUUGCUUCUCUGAUUUUAGCGGCGGACGGGUGAUUAACACGUGGAUAACCUACCUAUAAGACUGGGAUAACUUCGGGAAACCGUAUCUAAUACCGGAUAAUAUUUUGAACCUCAUGGUUCAAAAGUUAAAGUCGGUCUUUCUGUCACUUAUAGAUUGAUCCGCGCUGCAUUAGCUAGUUGGUAAGGUAACGGCUUACCAAGGCAACGAUGCAUAGCCGACCUGAGAGGGUGAUCGGACAGACUGGAACAGAGAAACGGUACAGACUCCUACGGGGAGCCGCAGUAGGGAAUCCUACGCAAUGGGGGAAAGCCUGACGGAGCAACGCCGCGUGAGUGAUGAAGGUCCUCGGAUCGUAAAACUCUGUUAUUAGGGAAGAACAUAUGUGUAAGUACCUGUGCACAUAUUGACGGUACCUAAUCAGAAAGCCACGGCUAACUACGUG